rnacentral:rRNA from 1 species
GACGAACGCUGGGCGGCGUGCUUAACACAUGCAAGUCGAACGAUGAACCACUUCGGUGGGGAUUAGUGGCGAACGGGUGAGUAACACGUGGGCAAUCUGCCCUUCACUCUGGGACAAGCCCUGGAAACGGGGUCUAAUACCGGAUACCACUCUCGCGGGCAUCUGCGAGGGUUGAAAGCUCCGGCGGUGAAGGAUGAGCCCGCGGCCUAUCAGCUUGUUGGUGAGGUAAUGGCUCACCAAGGCGACGACGGGUAGCCGGCCUGAGAGGGCGACCGGCCACACUGGGACUGAGACACGGCCCAGACUCCUACGGGAGGCAGCAGUGGGGAAUAUUGCACAAUGGGCGAAAGCCUGAUGCAGCGACGCCGCGUGAGGGAUG